CUUCGGGAACUCUGAGACAGGCUGCUGCAUGUCUGUCGUCAGCUCGUGUUGUGAAAUGUUGGGUUAAGUCCCGGAAGGGNGGGCAACCCUUAUCCUUUGUUGCCAGCGGUUCGGCCGGGAACUCAAAGGAGACUGCCAGUGAUAAACUGGAGGAAGGUGGGGAUGACGUCAAGUCAUCAUGGCCCUUACGAGUAGGGCUACACACGUGCUACAAUGGCGCAUACAAAGAGAAGCGACCUCGCGAGAGCAAGCGGACCUCAUAAAGUGCGUCGUAGUCCGGAUUGGAGUCUGCAACUCGACUCCAUGAAGUCGGAAUCGCUAGUAAUCGUAGAUCAGAAUGCUACGGUGAAUACGUUCCCGGG
rnacentral:rRNA from 1 species